GGGUUCUGUGCAAUAGACCUCUGUGAACGUGUCAGGUCCGGAAGGAAGCAGCAAUAAGCAGAACCGUCUAUGUGACACAGGUCCGCCU
rnacentral:SRP_RNA from 1 species